UCGUAUGAGAGAGAGAGGGAAAGGAAGAGAAAAAGAAAAAGAAGAAGAAGAAGAAGAAAGUAGUGUAUUUGGUGCCGUUGGACGAACCGAUCAAAACGCCGCGCGCCUGAUUUUUAGCGUUUCGACAUUCGGAUUAGUAUUAUAAUAUUAUUAUAAUUUCAAACCAGAUUUUUUGAUGGAUUCUUGACAGUGGAUGUUAGGAGAGGUCGUUUUGAUGGAUUUAUGUUGAAUCUAUGCUAAAAUUGAAGUUUAGAAAUCAAUUUUUAUGUGAUUUAGGAGCUGAUUUUGUGAGCGUUUCGUCGACGGAUUUUUUCGUGACUUUCGGAUUGUUGUGGCUACCAUGCGGAUUGGGUUUGGGCUGUAAGGAUUGAAGUCCUAGCGUGGAAUUGAUCGCGUAUAAACCUAAUUGAGGGUAAAGUGAAUGCGUUCGAAAGCUCGGAUCGACAUUCCGGCAAGCCUGCGGCAAGCUAGCGAGGAAAACCCCAUUUCGGCUUCAAUUGUCGCGAGCGCGGAUUGCGGUUGUUGGGGAAGUGCGGGAAGCGGAUUUCUCGCAUUCCGGUAUCAAGUAAAGGUGAAUUGUGCUUCACCAAAGCGAUUAGGUCGCUUCCAUGCCAAAGUAAAUUAUGGUUUUCAUUGAUGCAUAUAUGUAUAGUGGUAGGUUAUGAAUGAUAACAUGAAUGCAUGAAUCAUGAUAUAGUAGCUAAAGUUACCUACCGUUGGAAUAUGCAUAUGAAUAUAUUGAUGAUCA